rnacentral:rRNA from 1 species
CUACGGGGGGCAGCAGGCGAGAAAACUUUGCAAUGUGCGAAAGCACGACAAGGUUAAUCCGAGUGGUUUCUGCUAAAGGAACCUUUUGUCGGUCCUAGAAACACCGAUGAAUAAGGGGUGGGCAAGUUCUGGUGUCAGCCGCCGCGGUAAAACCAGCACCUCAAGUGGUCAGGAUGAUUAUUGGGCCUAAAGCAUCCGUAGCCGGCUCUGUAAGCUUUCGGUUAAAUCUGUAUGCUCAACAUACAGGCUGCCGGGAAUACUGCAUAGCUAGGGAGUGGGAGAGGUAGACGGUACUCGGUAGGAAGGGGUAAAAUCCUUUGAUCUAUUGAUGACCACCUGUGGCGAAGGCGGUCUACCAGAACACGUCCGACGGUGAGGGAUGAAAGCUGGGGGAGCAAACCGGAUUAGAUACCCUAGUAGUC